CUCGUUCUAACUUCAAGGAGCAGAGGCAGGAAACGUGAAGUCUGAAGCUGAGUCACGUGAUUUCCAGUAACUGCCGAGCGGAUGGGGGAGGAGCCAGUGAAAGUGUCAGACUGGUACUAACUUCAAGCAGCAGACGCAGGAAACCUGAAGUCUGAAGCUGAGUCACGUGAUUUCCAGUAACUGCCGAGCGGAUGGGGGAGGAGCCAGUGAAAGUGUCAGACUGGUACUAACUUCAAGCAGCAGACGCAGGAAACGUGAAGUCUGAGGCUGCAGUGGUCACCAACCAGUGGAGAGUCUUCACUGUGGAUCCCAGUAAAGCUCUGGACUCACUGGCUGAGGUGUGAGGACAUCGACCUGC